rnacentral:siRNA from 1 species
CUACUCGACCUCGUUUCCCAAUCU